GAUCAUGGCUCAGGAUGAACGCUAGCUACAGGCUUAACACAUGCAAGUCGCGGGGCAGCAUUUCCUUAGCUUGCUAAGGAAGAUGGCGACCGGCGCACGGGUGAGUAACGCGUAUCCAACCUUCCCAUGUCCACGGGAUAGCCCGUCGAAAGGCGGAUUAAUACCGUAUGAGGUCACAUGCGGGCAUCUAAGUGUGACGAAAGGUUUUGCGGACAUGGAUGGGGAUGCGUCCGAUUAGCUGGUUGGCGGGGUAACGGCCCACCAAGGCGACGAUCGGUAGGGGGUUCUGAGAGGAAGGUCCCCCACAUUGGAACUGAGACACGGUCCAAACUCCUACGGGAGGCAGCAGUGAGGAAUAUUGGUCAAUGGACGUAAGUCUGAACCAGCCAAGUAGCGUGCAGGAUGACGGCCCUAUGGGUUGUAAACUGCUUUUAUGCGGGGAUAAAGUGUGGGACGUGUCCCAUAUUGUAGGUACCGCAUGAAUAAGGACCGGCUAAUUCCGUG
rnacentral:rRNA from 1 species